AGUAACGCCCUCAAGUAAAAGAGGCGCUGGGGCAGGGGAGGUUAGUAAGAACCGCGGGGAAGAGCCUCUGCGCUUCAUUACAGUUAAAAGAAAUUUCUUUCCUUAUAGCGUGCCUCGGCCUGAACGCCUGGCAGGGGUGUUCUCCGGCUCCCGCGACCUGGGGCCGCCGCGGGGUGCAGCCCCCAGCCUGGCUGCUGGAGCCUGGCCUAGCCCCCUUGCAGCAGUCCUGCUCCUUGAGCAGUCCAGCACGGACGAGCGCAGUGGUCAAACGCACGGGGAGAAGCACUUGGUGUCCCCAGUUGCAAGAUAUCACAGUUCAGUCAGGACAGAGAGCGUACAAGCAGUGUGGAGAGGAGGCUACCUCAUCCUAACGAGGUUCUGCAUUAUUAUGCUGUCAAAAACCCAACAUGUGAACUCCUAGGAAUGCGGACCUGCUCAUCUCUGGUUUGCAAUCCAGUGACAUUCCAAACAACAAGCACACGCAUGAAAUCCAAAUAAAGGUAUUUAUGGGUGUAAUGAGAGGGGCGUUUGGAGCAGAAGGUCUCCACUGUACCUUGCCUCCUGAGGGAAAAUGCAGUACACGUUGACGGCAGCGCAAGCCAACCAUGGCAGGAAGUGAAUGUAGCCUUUCAGUAUGAAAUGUCAAAAUGACUUUUCGUUGUCAGCCCGG